AUGGAUGCCGCGGUGCACGUUCUCGUGUUCCCUUGGCCACGGCAGGGACACAUCAAUCCCAUGCUCCAGUUCGCCACCGCCCUCGUCGACGUUGGCGUCCAAGUCACGUUCCUCCACACCGAGCACAACCUCCGCCGUCUCGCCCAGGCGCAUCCGCCGGGCCUACGCUUGCUAUCCAUCCCCGACGGCCUCCCCGACGAGCACCCCCGCGGCUUCUUGGCGUUCAUGGAGUCCAUGUGCACGGCGGGCAGCGCCGCAUACCGUGCCCUGCUCUUGUCGCUUGUCUGUGCUGCUGAUGCGCCAGUGACAUGCGUUGUCGCUGAUGGCACCAUGCCGUUCGCCAUCGAAAUCCCCGAGGAGCUCGGCAUCCCCGCGCUCUCCUUCGUCACGCACAGCGCGUGCAGCUACCUAGCGUUCCUGUGUAUGCCCAAGCUCGUCGAGCUCGGCGAGACUCCCUUCACUGCGGACGACCUGGUUUCUAGCGUUCCGGGGAUGGAGCGCUUCCUCCGGCGACGAGAUCUUCCUCGUGGGCUCUACUGCACCGAGCAAGGCGACGGUGAUCCCUUGGUGCUCAAGUUCGCCGAGGCCGUCGGUCGUACCAGCAAGGCAUGUGCGCUCAUAUUCAACACCGCCACGUCCAUGGAGCGGCCAGCGCUCGCCCACGUCGCGUCGGGCACAAGCGACGUCUUCGCUAUAGGCCCACUGCACGCCAGGUCGAGUUCCGCCGCAAGCCCAAGCCUGUGGCGGGAGGACGACGGAUGCAUGGCGUGGCUGGACGGCCACGAGGACCGGUCCGUCGUAUACGUGAGCCUGGGGAGCCUCGCCGUGAUCACGCACGCGCAGUUCACCGAGUUCCUCUCCGGCCUGGCCGCCACGGGGUACGCCUUCCUCUGGGCUCUCCGGCCGGGCAUGGUCCAGACGACCAGCCCCGCUCUCCUCCGAGAAGCAGUCGGGGCAGCGGGAGGCAAGGGGCGCGUCGUCGAGUGGGCUCCUCAGCGGGACGUGUUGCGGCACCGGGCGGUGGGUUGCUUUCUGACACACGCCGGAUGGAACUCGACGCUGGAGUGCGCCGUCGAGGGCAUGCCGAUGGUGUGCUGGCCCUUCUUCGUCGACCAGCAGACCAACAGCCGCUUCGUGGGCGCCGUCUGGAGGACGGGGCUGGACAUGAAGGACGUCUGCCAGAGAGGGGUCGUGGAGAGGACGGUGAGAGAGGCCAUGGCAUCCGACGAGAUCAGGGCAGCGGCCCAAGCCAUGGCGCAGCAGUUGAGGCUGGAUGUUGCGGAGACGGGGUCGUCGUCGUCGGAGUUGGAGCGUCUCGUCCGCUUCAUCAGGGAGCUCAGCGUCAGAUCCUCCUCAAGCCCAGAAUUAUUGGAAACUAGCACAAGCUGCAGAGGUCUCUCAUUUACAUCUCACUACUACUACUAA
rnacentral:rRNA from 1 species